AACGCACCUUGCGCUCCUUGGUAUUCCGAGGAGCAUGCCCGUUUGAGUGUCGCGAUGCCCUCGAGGCCGGCCGCCCCUGUGGCGUCCUGGACUUGGACUUUGGAUGUGCUGCCGGACGGCGACGACCGGCUCAUCCCAAACGCAUUAGCCAGACCUUUUUCGGGGCCUUCUUUCGGUUCUCACUCGGCGUGAUAAGAUCGCCCGUCGAGGACGAGAGGGGUGCCCCCGGCAGGACCGGCUUCCAAACCGCGUGUUCUUGCGCACUUUGACCGUCUGACCUCAAAUCGGGUAGGACUACCCGCUGAACUUAA
rnacentral:rRNA from 1 species